rnacentral:rRNA from 1 species
UACGAAAGGUGCAAGCGUUGUUCGGAAUUACUGGGCGUAAAGCGCACGCAGGCGGUUUGUUAAGCAAGAUGUGAAAGCCCCGGGCUCAACCUGGGAACUGCAUUUUGAACUGGCAGACUAGAGUCUUGGAGAGGGGGGUGGAAUUCCAGGUGUAGCGGUGAAAUGCGUAGAGAUCUGGAGGAACAUCAGUGGCGAAGGCGGCCCCCUGGCAAAGCACUGACGCUCAUGUGCGAAAGUGUGGGUAGCGAACAGGAUUAGAUACCCGCGUAGUCC